UACAGAGGGGGCAAGCGUUGUCCGGAAUUAUUGGGCGUAAAGAGCUCGUAGGCGGUCUGUCGCGUCGGCUGUGAAAACUCGGGGCUCAACCCCGAGCUUGCAGUCGAUACGGGCAGGCUAGAGUUCGGCAGGGGAGACUGGAAUUCCUGGUGUAGCGGUGAAAUGCGCAGAUAUCAGGAGGAACACCGGUGGCGAAGGCGGGUCUCUGGGCCGAUACUGACGCUGAGGAGCGAAAGCGUGGGGAGCGAACAGG
rnacentral:rRNA from 1 species